CAGAACCGGCUUCUGGGCUCAGCGUUGGAUGCCAUGAGCACCAGCGCCCCCUCACUUCAGCCCUCCUCCUCCGCUCCCGCAGACACGGACCCACGCAGACGCAGGACAGGGCGCAGUCCCUCCCCGCCACGCUGCUCUGUCCCCAUGGCCUCCUGCCGUCACCCUGCCGCAGGGUCAUGUGGGAGAUCGCGCUCAACAGCAGGAUAGUCACACAGCCCACGGCGCCGGGCCCGGAUGGACGGCUCCGCUGGUCCCCUGCUGACCUGUAAUUACAGCGCUGGCCCUCGCCCGGCUGAAAGGUCAGUGCCGGGCCGCUGCGACGCCCUUUAUGAAGGCUGGGGCAAUUUUCCUCUCCGAAUGUAAUCUGCCUCCCUGAAGCCGAGCCAGCCAAUCUCCCAGCACCCCCAGCCCCAGCACCCCAGAACCGCUUUCCUGGAAUCAGAGCUACAGCCUGCUGGGGAUGAUGGAUGUGUGUGUGAGUGGAGAGCUAAUUAUGGCACAGAAUGUAGCCUUUACAAGUGCAGGUGCCUGCUUUCACGUCUCUGCUGUUCCCAGCCUGUCCUUACUUCCUGCCUCCUCCUCUCUCUCUCUCUCUCUCUCUGCCUGUUCCCACCUCCCUCAGCCUCCCUGUCUUUCUCUGGUUGUACAUCAUCUGAUUAAAUUCCCCGUUUGCCAACCCUGUAGUCCAUCUUGUUCUGCAUGCCAAAAUUCCAGGUUGUGUUGGACAAAAUUAUAGGAAACAGAACGUGCAGCAUCAUACAGCCAGUAUUGUCUUGCUGCUUCAGUAAAGAAGGCUUGGGCCUUUCAGAAAUUACACAUCAACCUACAUCCAUAAAUGUUGUGCUGUCAAAUAUGUUAGUUACCUUCUAGUGUGUUAUGCCCACUCGGAGUAGUAUUUCUACAAAUGCUGUGCUUUGAUAUAUUAAAGGAUUUGAUCAUGUGCUUGCCCGGGGUCAUUGUGAAGAAUAGCCACCAUUCCAACUGGACGGGUUUAAAAUUGCUUUAAAAAUGAAGAAAAAACAAUCUGCCUUGCUAAACCUCCUGGGCUGUCUGCAUGUUCUGUGCCGUGCUUUGAGCUACUCAUUCAUUUUGAAGAAAGGAAGCAAUCACAGAUUUCAGCUACAUGUGUCCCAUCGCAGGCGCAAAGCAGAGACUCUGCCAUAGAAAAAAGGUCACGUCUGCGUGUGCCUGCACUCUUGGCCGGGCCUUGAAGGGAAAAUUCGGUGCAGGACUGGGAUACAAUCAUGGGCAUCAUGUGAAUUUCCAGAGGAGCCACAAUGCAUCGUGGGUAACCUGCUGUUAUUGGCAUGGCGGUGAGUGUGAGCGCCUGAGAGGUCCCUACGGUCUACAGCGAGACGCUUCCCGCUGCACGUUUGGUAGUAAAACUGUGGGGGUGGGGAGGGGGGUGCAUGCUAGACACCUUAUUACUUCAGUUUG